GCUGGCGGCAUGCCUAUCAUGCAAGUCGAGCGAAUGACGAAGAAGCUUGCUUCUUCUGAUUUAGUGGCGGACGGGUGAGUAACACGUGGGCAACCUGCCCUGUAGAUUGGGAUAACUCCGGGAAACCGGGGCUAAUACCGAAUAAUCCAUUUCCUCACAUGGGGAGAUGUUAAAAGACGGCAUCUCGCUGUCACUACAGGAUGGGCCCGCGGCGCAUUAGCUAGUUGGUGAGGUAACGGCUCACCAAGGCGACGAUGCGUAGCCGACCUGAGAGGGUGAUCGGCCACACUGGGACUGAGACACGGCCCAGACUCCUACGGGAGGCAGCAGUAGGGAAUCUUCCACAAUGGACGAAAGUCUGAUGGAGCAAUGCCGCGUGAGUGAAGAAGGUUUUCGGAUCGUAAAACUCUGUUGUGAGGGAAGAACAAGUAUGAGAGUAACUGCUCGUACCUUGACGGUACCUCAUUAGAAAGCCACGGCUAACUACGUGCCAGCAGCCGCGGUAAU
rnacentral:rRNA from 1 species